rnacentral:rRNA from 1 species
GCCAGCAGUUAUAUCGCACUGCAGCUCUCAACUGGCUACCCACUGAAGCUAAGCAGGGUUGAGCCUGUACCUGGAUCUGGUCAGUACCUGGAUGGGAGACCUCUUGGGAAGCUAUGGUUGCUGCUGGAA